GAUGAAGAACGUAGCGAAAUGCGAUACGUAAUGUGAAUUGCAAAUUCAGUGAAUCAUCGAAUCUUUGAACGCACAUUGCGCCCGCCAGUAUUCUGGCGGGCAUGCCUGUUCGAGCGUCAUUUCAACCAUCAAGCCCCAGGCUUGUGUUGGGGACCUGCGGCUGCCGCAGGCCCUGAAAACCAGUGGCGGGCUCGCUGUCACACCGGGCGUAGUAGAUUUUAUCUCGCUCAGGGCGUGCUGCGGGUUCCGGCCGUUAAAAAGCCUUUUUUACCCAAGGUUGACCUCGGAUCAGGUAGGAAGACCCGCUGAACUUAAGCAUAUCAAUAAGCGGAGGA
rnacentral:misc_RNA from 1 species